rnacentral:rRNA from 1 species
UACGUAGGGACCGAGCGUUGUCCGGAUUCAUUGGGCGUAAAGAGCUUGUAGGCGGUUUGUCGCGUCUGCUGUGAAAACUCGAGGCUUAACCUCGAGCUUGCAGUGGGUACGGGCAGGCUAGAGUGUGGUAGGGGAGACUGGAAUUCCUGGUGUAGCGGUGAAAUGCGCAGAUAUCAGGAGGAACACCGAUGGCGAAGGCAGGUCUCUGGGCCACUACUGACGCUGAGAAGCGAAAGCAUGGGGAGCGAACAGG